UUUGUCUACUAAUAUUAUAGACCAGUAUGAAAGGCCACAUGAGGGUUCAUACUGUCUCCUGAGGCUAAUUUAUGAAACUGAUCUUUUAGUUCAAAAGCUAAAAUACCAAUAUAAGACGAGAAGACCCUGUGAAGCUUUAAAGAUUUUUACUAACAACCUAGCAAAUAUUUUUAGUUGGGGCAACUUUGGAAAAGAAACAAACCUCCAAAAGGCAACGCCUUAUAAGACCAAAGAGUCAAUCACGACCCAGUACAACUGAUAAAUGAACCAAGUUACUCCAGGGAUAACAGCGCAAUCUUCUUCAAGAGCCCAUAUCAAAAAGAAGGUUUACGACCUCGAUGUUGGAUCAGGACACCAAAACGGCGCAGCCGCUGUUAAAAGUUCGUUUGUUCAACGAUUAAAAGU
rnacentral:rRNA from 1 species